AUUGAACGCUGGCGGCAGGCCUAACACAUGCAAGUCGAGCGAGCGGCGGACGGGUGAGUAUUGUCUGGGAAACUGCCUGUUGGAGGGGGAUAACUACUGGAAACGGUAGCUCAUACCGCAUACCAUCAGAUGUGCCCAGAUGGGAUUAGCUAGUAGGUGGGGUAACGGCGCACCUGGGCGACGAUCCCUAGCUGGUCUGAGAGGAUAACCAGACACACUGGAAAUGGGACACGGUCCAGACACCUACGUGAGGCAACGGUGGUGAAUAUUGCACAAUGGGCGCAAGCCUAAUGCAGCCAUGCCGCGUGUGUGAAGAAGGCCUUCGGGUUGUAAAGCACUUGCAGCGGGGAGGCGUUACCCGCAGAAGAAGCACCGGCUAACUCCGUGACAGAAGCCGCGGUAAUAC
rnacentral:rRNA from 1 species